UACGUAGGGUGCAAGCGUUGUCCGGAAUUAUUGGGCGUAAAGAGCUCGUAGGCGGUUUGUCGCGUCUGCUGUGAAAACUCGGGGCUUAACUCCGGGCCUGCAGUGGAUACGGGCAGACUAGAGGUAGGUAGGGGAGAAUGGAAUUCCCGGUGUAGCGGUGAAAUGCGCAGAUAUCGGGAGGAACACCGGUGGCGAAGGCGGUUCUCUGGGCCUUACCUGACGCUGAGGAGCGAAAGCGUGGGGAGCGAACAGG
rnacentral:rRNA from 1 species